CAGGUUAAAGACAGCUGAUGAUGGCUCUGGGCCUCUGGCAAUGAGCUCCAUGAUCUUGAUGGGAGUUCAGGCUGUAAACUGACAUAAUCCAGCUCACUCAUCCGCUCCUUGUAUACAGGUGAGAGAUAAACUGAGAGGAGAGGAAGCAAGUCAUCCCAAAUCAUGUAUUAAAUGCAGAAAACAAAGCAGGAGUGAGUAGUGAACUAGCGCCACUGCAAGUAAUGAGAGCAAAAAUCAGGCACGUCGAAUAAAAAUUCAGUAUAAUGGUUAUACAAGAUGGAU
rnacentral:lncRNA from 1 species